GACGAACGCUGGCGGCGUGCUUAACACAUGCAAGUCGAACGGAAAGGCCUCUUUCGGGGGGUACUCGAGUGGCGAACGGGUGAGUAACACGUGAGUAACCUGCCCUUGACUUUGGGAUAACUUCAGGAAACUGGGGCUAAUACCGGAUAGGAGCUCCUGCUGCAUGGUGGGGGUUGGAAAGUUUCGGCGGUUGGGGAUGAACUCGCGGCUUAUCAGCUUGUUGGUGGGGUAGUGGCUUACCAAGGCUUUGACGGGUAGCCGGCCUGAGAGGGUGACCGGCCACAUUGGGACUGAGAUACGGCCCAGACGCCGACGGGAGGCAGCAGGGGGGAAUAUUGCACAAUGGGUGGAAGCCUGAUGCAGCAACGCCGUGUGCGGGAUGACGGCCUUCGGGUUGUAAACCGCUUUCGCUCAUGACGAAGCUUUGUGUGACGGUAGUGGGUAAAGAAGCACCGGCUAACUACGUG
rnacentral:rRNA from 1 species